AUUGAACGCUGGCGGCAGGCCUAACACAUGCAAGUCGAACGAGUGGCGGACGGGUGAGUAAUGUCUGGGAAACUGCCUGAUGGAGGGGGAUAACUACUGGAAACGGUAGCUAAUACCGCAUACCAUCGGAUGUGCCCAGAUGGGAGUAGCUAGUAGGUGGGGUAACGGCUCACCUAGGCGACGAUCCCUAGCUGGUCUGAGAGGAUGACCGUCCACAUUGGACCUGAGCGACGGCCCAGACUCUUACGGUAUGCAGCAGUGGGGAAUAGUGCACAAGGGGCGCAAGCCUGAUGCAGCCAUGCCGCGUGUAUGAAGAAGGCCUUCGGGUUGUAAAGUACUUGCAGCGGGGAGGCGUUACCCGCAGAAGAAGCACCGGCUAACUCCGUGCCAGCAGCCGCGGUAAUAC
rnacentral:rRNA from 1 species